GUGCUUGCUUUAGCAGCACAUAUGCUGAAAUUGGAAUGAUACAGAGAAGAUUAGCAUGGCCUCUGCACAAGGAUGAUGUGCAAAUCCGUGAAGCAUUCCAUAUUUUU